UACAGAGGGUGCGAGCGUUAAUCGGAAUUACUGGGCGUAAAGCGCGCGUAGGCGGCUUUGCAAGUCGGGUGUGAAAUCCCCAGGCUUAACCUGGGAACUGCAUUCGAGACUGCAUUGCUAGAGUAUGGGAGAGGGAAGUGGAAUUUCCGGUGUAGCGGUGGAAUGCGUAGACAUCGGAAGGAACAUCAGUGGCGAAAGCGACUUCCUGGACCAAUACUGACGCUCAUGUGCGAAAGCGUGGGGAGCAAACAGG
rnacentral:rRNA from 1 species